UGAGCUUCCAAGAUGGCGACCUCUUACAUAGAAGACCAGUUGCCAGGGUGGCCCCAGGGCUAUUUUCAGCUGAUUGUGUAUUCAUAGUUGUACAGUGUGCAUUACUGGGCAAAUUCUUAACUCCUAAAGAUCUCUUUGGCAGGUUGGCCCUGUUUCUCACUCAGCUUUGACAGCCCUGGAUCUCCCUGCAGGCAUUAAGGAACUCUAGAAGAGCAGGGACCUCACCUGCAUGUUUCAUUCUGCCAUGACCCUUUCACCUCUGCAGGAUCUGCUGGAAACAAGCUCAAAGUUUCUUGAAAGGAAAAAAAAAUAAUAAUAAAGCCAGCCCAAGUCACAUUGAA